rnacentral:misc_RNA from 1 species
GAUGAUGAACGUAGCGAAAUGCGAUAAGUAAUGUGAAUUGCAGAAUUCAGUGAAUCAUCGAAUCUUUGAACGCACAUUGCGCCCAUUAGUAUUCUAGUGGGCAUGCCUGUUCGAGCGUCAUUAAGUCCACUUAAGCCCUGCUUAGUGUUGGGAGACUGCUCCAGCGGUGCUACCCUGUAGCUACCCUGCAGCUCCUCAAAGACAGCGGCGGAGUUGUGGUAUCCUCUGAGCUUAGUAACUUGUUCUAGCUUUCGAGUACACCACUUCCCCUGCCGUAAAACCCUUAAUUUUUAAUGGUUGACCUCGGAUCAGGUAGGAAUACCCGCUGAACUUAAGCAUAUCAAUAAGCGGAGGA